AAUCGCGUCCGAACAGUCCAACUACAAGGUCAUGUCUACCAAGGUAGAGAUCAAGUUGAAAAAGGGAGAAGGCAUCCAGUGGACAAAGCUUGAAGGUGAAGGCCAGCCCCAGGAACCAAAUGCAUACAUGGCAGCACCUGUGGCACCUGUGGCAGCACC